rnacentral:lncRNA from 1 species
AGGGUUAGUUUUAACAGCAAAGGGCCUUUACUAAAAUGGCGAAGGCCUUCCGUCGGCGUUGUUUUAAAAUGGGAAGCCUCGACCCUGUAUUGAAACUGAGCUGUUCGAAGGCGGCGUUGUGUGCAAUUCGGAUUAAUGAAGGGGAAGGGUUUUGUGUGGAAAAACGCCUUGGAGUGUGACAUUUCUGCGAGAAUGCUUAAAUACCGAUUUCCCGCAGGAACAAUGGCGCUGUCUUCAGUGGCACAGUGGAGCAGCUCUGAAGAUGCAAAGAUACACGAAAAAACUUCCAGAACAUCUGGGAGAAUAUUUAAUGGAAAAUCGCUUGGUUAAAACCUGACACUUUUAACAGACUAAAUCAAAUUUUUUUUGUCAGUGAACAGCGUUCUGAGUGUGGACGAGUAGCCAGUGAAGAUAAUGAAUGUCGAAUGUGACUGACUAGCAGCUUCAUUUUGAAUGAGGGUCGCUGUCUGCCCAUUGAUAGAGGCCAGAUUGUCUUGGAAGUUCCAAAGUUGCAACGAUUUCUGGCUAGUGCCACGAGGUUUACUUGACUGUUGUGUGAAAAGCUGAUAAGAAAACCAUCCAGAAAAAAGCUCUUCGUUUUACAAACAUGAAAAUAAAACAUGUAAUUUUGG